AGGGUGCUGAACUCCAGCCAGCUGAUCCACCUUUAAGAAAACUCUUCAUCUCUAAAGAAAAAAGCAUGUGCAUGAAUCUACAAUGUGUGGAUAGAUUUUUUUUUUUUUUAAAUGAUUCCCAGCUUGCACCCAGCUGUUUUUGAACUGAUGACUCCUGGUACUAAUUCAAACCUUGCUGUAGCUGGCAGGUACUCUCUCUACCUCCCUGUGAGCGGAGAUAAAGGUGAGAAUGACUUUAAGAGAGGUUGUUGUUGUUGUUAGGUGCCGUCCUGUUGGUUCUGACUCAUAGCGACCCUGUGCACACCAGAACACAACACUGCCUGGUUCUGCACCAUCCUCGCAAUUGUUGCUAUGUUUGAGCCCAUUGUUGCAGCCACUGUGUCAAUCCAUUUCGUUGAGGUUCUUCCUCUUUUUCACUGACCCUCUCUCUACCUUAUCAGGCAUGAUAUCUUUCUCUAGGGACUGGUCCCUCCUGAUAACAUGUCCAAAGUAUGUGAGGUGUAGUCUCGCCACCCUUCUUCCAAGGAGCAUUCUGGUUGCUCUUUAAGACAGGUGGUAAGUACCAGUUUCCAACCUUCUCUUCCUCACAAUCUUGGAACAGUUGGCUCUGAUCUCGUCUUUCCUAUUGUUCCCUCGCCCUGUGCCAAGAGAGACCCACAGCUCUCUGCUGGGCUACAUCAUGUUUGAAAAGUAAAGAAGCUGGUGUAUAAAAUGGACUUCACUGAUGCAGCCAGGCAAAGCGGUUGGACUUUCCCUAAUACUUCCCUUCUUCCACAGAGCAUCCCUGGAUUGCCCUAGGAAGCCAAGUCUGCAGGUGCUGUUCUCUCUGCAUCCAUUCCAAUGUUCCUUUCCAGAUGCAGCCUUGGGGGUGCCCCCAUUUUUAUGAGGCGUGGACAGCCAUGGGAGAGCUCGGGGUUCCUUCUGGAGAGCUGCACCUGUGCCUUAAGAGGCAUUUGCCUCCCCUGACUUGAUUGUAGGUUGGGUUUCCAUCAGCAUUGUGAUAACCUCAUCGUACUGACAGGGCUUCGGAGAAAUCAGCAGAGUUAACCCAACAUCUGCCAGUGCUAAUAGGUUCGUGCUCAGAGCAGAAAAAAUACAAAAGUUGAGCACCACACUUCACAGCCUCAAGAAGGAUUCAAGUUAGAUACCCAUGCUGCGUUGAGGCCACUAAUGAUUUGUAAAGGAUGUACCACUUGACCAAAGAGACAAUAAAAAUAUCCCGCUUCUGUUUAGUUUGAUGUACACUCUUUAGGAGGGUCUCUCAGGGCCAGUGCAAAAUAAAAGUAACAGAAACCGGGAACUACAUGGGUUAAGCGUCAGUUUCUGUCUCCUGCUUUCUUGCCCCAACCCUGGCACAGGCUGUCAGCACUCAGGUGACAGGCCUUAACCCUUUAAAGCCACCUCGCAGUGCCUGCUCUCAGAUACGGAGAUUGGAGCCCACAUCUCGCUGAUUGCAACUGGAUGUGUUACAUUUCUCACAAAACAGCUAGCAGUUCUUAGCACAGUGGGAAGAAAUGUUUUGUUACCAGCAAGGCAGCUGGAAGGUGUAGCCUUCUGGAGUUUUUAAUUACAUUCUUUUAAAACAUAUUCAAUUAACCAAAAAAUAGAUGUAGUAAUUGUGAAGUGAUUAUGUUGUAUGUUUUUCAGAAACCUCUGGGGAGAGGAGGGAGGAGGCGAAAAAUUAAUUGCGAACGCUCUAAAUAAAAAAGGAUACGGAUGUAUUUAGCUCUAAAAAUGAGUGACGCUCACAAUGCCCACCAGCGUUUUUAUUAAUGUAUUUUCACUAUUAAAUAUAUUUAUUAUUAAAUAUGUACAUACAAAAAGAUAGACUGAUAAAAUGAAAAAUGCAUGUCCGCGUCAAUCAGCUUUGUUGUAUUAUAGCAUUUUGCCAUACUCGCUUCAGAUAUUUUUUUCAAGAAUUAAAAUGUUAGGUGCUAUGGAAGCCCAUUUCACUUCUUACCUUCUGAAUAUUUUAAAUUAACAUUGUUUUAAAGGCAUCAAGUCAAACAUCUGAACAACCACCGUCUAAGCGUUUUCUGUCCGGUAGCGAAGCGAGGCUUUGUAGGAGUCAUGCCCAAGAGCACUGCAGAUGAACACAAGCUGUACCACAGGCCGUCCGAAGGGAAGAGCUGAAUUUUCAACAAAUGUCCUUUCUCCUUUUAGCCCUAUUUUUGGUUUUGUGACAGAUAAGAUAUAUUUGCUACCAUUAGGAUGCUUUCUCUGCCCUGAUAGCACAUUUUAUACAGGGGAUGCCAGGAGGCGUGAUUAUGAAAUAAAAACAUUAAUAUAACGUCAGGUUGUACACUAAAUGCCCUAGCAGCCUUGGUCUCUUAAGUUAAUGUGCAGAUUGGCAUUACCCAGAGGGUAUAAGGGAUUAGGGUCAUUAUUCUGCAUUUCUGUGAAAAAGUAACUUCCUAGGAAGAGCCACUGAGCUAUUUUUAACUGUAUAGGAAGAUGAAGUCAACCAUUCUGAUUCAGAGGUUUGCAUCCUGAUAUUAGUAAAACUCCCAGCAAAAGUCCCCAGCCUUCCCGGCCCCCUGCCACGUUUGUGGUAAAAGAAAAAUGGAGACUCACAGCCGUAGUGGGCCAAUGUAAGAUUGCUCCUUGCAGCUUGUGGUGAGAGACGAAAAGCCUUUCGCAAAACGUUAUUCUGAAAAGUGAUUAGGUGGAGCCAGUAAGCCAAAGGUGUUAUGUAAGUCUUUUGUGAAAGAGACUGGAUAAAGCUUUUGGGUGUUUCUGGUGCUAAUUCAGCUGUGAAGUUGCCUAUGAUUUUGAGCACUGACCUUCCGCAGACCCAGCACCAUGGCGACCCAGGCCACAGCAGAAGAUGACACAGAUUAGUACUCGGAUCUAUGGCUCCUGUCCCCAAACAGAGAAGAACUGUGCUCCAUAAGGUUUUCAGGCUGUGACUUUUUGGAAGCAGGUUACCAGGCCUUUCUUCCAAGGUGCCUCUGGAUGUAUUCAAGCUGCCAACGUUUUGUGCCUGGCUGCUCACCGGAAGGACAGCAGUUCGAAUCCACCAGCUGCUCCAUGAGAAAAAGAUGUGACACUCUGCUUCUGUAAAGAUUACAGCCUUGGAAACCGGAUGGGGCCAUUCUACUCUGUGCUAUCAGGUCACUCUGAGUCAGAAUCAACUCACUGGCAAUGGGUUUCGUUUUUUGCUUUGACCAUUGGCAGUGAUAGUGGGGUUGAAGAGAAGAUGACAGAUUCCUGCAAUAUUGAGGUAAACUGAGGCAGAUCUAAGAGGGAUAAAGAGCCCAGAGAGUGGGGAAGCGGAGACGUCACGGAUGUCACAGGUUUCUCUUGAGUUUCUCUUGGUUUUAGAAGAGGUUUUAUUCACAUACAACUGAUACUUUGUUAUUUAUCACUCUGGUGUCUUGAAAAAACAACUGUUGUGCUACAGAGGGACGGACAACCAGUUUUCCUAAGUAACCAAGAGUAUGCAUCAGGGCAAAAGUGCAGGAAGUGAGGAGAGACCAGGAGUCCCCUCCUUCCCCUGGGCAGCUUUGUGUCCUCUGUUCCCAGGCCUCAGCACGCCCUGGCUGUGGAUUGUAUUUCUCAACCCAGCUGCAUUGUCCUUCUUGUUAGCUGGCACAUCUCCCAGAUUCUGGUAAUGGGCUGAUGGACAGUUCUAGUUCUGUGUGCUGUUGUGUUUUUAUUCUUUUCUGUGUUUUGCUAGGUAUUCUGGUAGGAAAUUGGAAGUGUCGGAGUCAGGGGCUCUUUGACAGAAGAAGUACAGCCAGAAUGCUCCUUAGAGGCAAGGAUGGCGAGACUGCGCCUUACAUACUUUGGACAUGCUGUCAGGAGGGAUCAGUCCCUGGAGAAGGACAUCAUGCUUGGCAGAGUACAGGGUCAGCAGAAAAGAGGAAGACCCUCAACGAGGUGGAUUGAGACAGUGGCUGCAAAAAUGAGCUCAAGCAUAACAACGAUUGUGAGGAUGGCUCAGGACUGGGCAGCAUUUCGUUCUGUUGUGCAUAGGGUCACUAUGAGUCGGAAGUGACUCGACGGCACCUAACAACAAAAACAAC